UUCCGUAGGUGAACCUGCGGAAGGAUCAUUAUUGAAGUCUGGUUGUUGCUGGCCUUUUUCUCGGCAUGUGCACGCCUUAUUCAAACCCACCUGUGCACCUUUUGUAGACAGACUUUGUUUUUGCCUAUCAAUCAUUUACUCCCGUGUAAUCAGAAUGUUAUUGAUUGGCCUCAGUGCCUUUAAUCAAAUAUUAUACAACUUUCAGCAACGGAUCUCUUGGCUCUCGCAUCGAUGAAGGACGCAGCGAAACGCGAUAAGUAAUGUGAAUUGCAGACACGUGAAUCAUCGAAUCUUUGAACGCACCUUGCGCUCCUUGGUGAUCUGAGGAGCAUGCCUGUUUGAGUGUCAUUAAAUUCUCAACCUAACCAACUUUUGGAUAGGCUUGGAUUGUGGGGGCUUUUGCUGGCUUCAACCCCUCAGAAGUCAGCUCCCCUUAAACGCAUUAGUGGAACGAUUUGUUGACCUUGUUUCCCGGUGUGAUAAAACCUUUAUCACCACCGUGUGCAGUCAGCUUACUCUGCUUCUAACCGAUUUUCAUUCACUCUUGACCAUUUGACCUCAAAUCAGGUAGGACUACCCGCUGAACUUAAGCAUAUCAAUAAGCGGAGG
rnacentral:rRNA from 1 species